ACUACGUGUGUCAAGCAGGAAUUGUCAACUGGACAUGUCUUGUAAAUUAUGUAUGUGGACACUAUUAUUUCAAAAAGGAAUGAAAGUACAGCCUACGAUAUUUGAAGUGACACGACCUGUCAUGUUGAGAAUUGAUCAUGAAGGAGUUGUCGGAGAGAGAACUGACAGAGGUUGUUAGGAGAAGGAUAACAACUAAAAUGGCUGCCGUGAGAAAACGGAAAGGACUUCUGAGAAGCUGUCUUCUAAUAUGUUUGAUGACCAGUCUUCCGAUUGGGGGCAAAACCGGAUUGUUGAGUCCUGGCCAACCCGAGUGAAAGCACAACAUGGCCGGUCGCUUUCACUUUGAAGUUUAUCCGGAACUUGAAGGAGGUGCUCAGAGGCUUCAGGAUGAAUCUAAAACUGUUUGGUUUCGGCUCGGUGGCGAAGGAGCAAGCUAAAGAUAUUAA